AUUCCAGCUCCAAUAGCGUAUAUUUAAGUUGUUGCAGUUAAAAAGCUCGUAGUUGGAUCUUGGGUCGUAAGGGUCGGUCCGCCUACUCGGUGUGCACCUGCCCUUCCGUCCCUUAAUUGGCUGGGUCGCGGUUCCGGCGCUGUUACUUUGAAAAAAUUAGAGUGCUCAAAGCAAGCUUAUGCUCUGAAUACAUUAGCAUGGAAUAACGUGAUAGGAGUCUGGUCCUAUUGUGUUGGCCUUCGGGACCGGAGUAAUGAUUAAUAGGGACUGUCGGGGGCAUUCGUAUUUCAUUGUCAGAGGUGAAAUUCUUGGAUUUAUGAAAGACGGACCACUGCGAAAGCAUUUGCCAAGGAUGUUUUCAUUA
rnacentral:rRNA from 1 species